rnacentral:rRNA from 1 species
GAUGAACGCUGGCGGCGUGCCUAAUACAUGCAAGUCGAGCGAACAGAUAAGGAGCUUGCUCCUUUGACGUUAGCGGCGGACGGGUGAGUAACACGUGGGUAACCUACCUAUAAGACUGGGAUAACUUCGGGAAACCGGAGCUAAUACCGGAUAACAUUUGGAACCGCAUGGUUCUAAAGUGAAAGAUGGAUUUGCUAUCACUUAUAGAUGGACCCGCGCCGUAUUAGCUAGUUGGUAAGGUAACGGCUUACCAAGGCAACGAUACGUAGCCGACCUGAGAGGGUGAUCGGCCACACUGGAACUGAGACACGGUCCAGACUCCUACGGGAGGCAGCAGUAGGGAAUCUUCCGCAAUGGGCGAAAGCCUGACGGAGCAACGCCGCGUGAGUGAUGAAGGGUUUCGGCUCGUAAAACUCUGUUAUUAGGGAAGAACAAAUGUGUAAGUAACUGUGCACGUCUUGACGGUACCUAAUCAGAAAGCCACGGCUAACUACGUG